rnacentral:rRNA from 1 species
UACGAGGGGGGCGAGCGUUGUUCGGAAUUAUUGGGCGUAAAGGGCGCGUAGGCGGUUUGACAAGUCUGAUGUGAAAUCUCUGGGCUCAACCCAGAGUCUGCAUUAGAAACUGUCGGGCUUGAGUAUGGGAGAGGUGAGUGGAAUUUCCGGUGUAGCGGUGAAAUGCGUAGAUAUCGGAAGGAACACCUGUGGCGAAAGCGGCUCACUGGACCAUAACUGACGCUGAGGCGCGAAAGCUAGGGGAGCAAACAGG